rnacentral:lncRNA from 1 species
GACCAUCCUGGCUAACACGGAUUUCUGGACUGGGUGAAUCUUAUCUGCAUUUGGCAAUCAUGAUUCUGAGACUGUGAGUGGCUAACGUCAAGGAAGCAGCCUCCUUUACAGAACAACCCUUCUGUUUAUUUCUGUCUGGCAGGAUGCAAUCUCUCUUUACUGCCGCUAUUCCUGUAUAUACCUUCUAGUUUCAUUUUUUGCUGACCCUUGAGAACUGGCUCUUAACCCCUACUCCAUGCCAACAGAAUUAUUAGGAAAUCAUCGAGAACUGUCCUUCACUUUGUGACAGCAGGAGACUCUAAGUACAAAAUAGCAGGUCACUCUGACUAUGACCAAUCGGACAGAUAACCACGCUGCUUUCUUUUUCACAGGAAAUUGUGUAACUCUGGAAUUUUAGAGGUGACUGCGUGACAAUUCUGAGAGGCCAAUGCCAAUGAGAGAAAAGUUUACUGCUACUCAUGAUGGCGCCCCUGGAAGCAGAAGACACAGCACGCUAUAGAGGGCCAUGUGGGAAAGCACUGGAGUAGCUCCAGGCCGGGCUUGCCAGUCUCUCUGCACUCUGGAAGGAGUUUGCCUGGGUUGGGGUUGUCCCUUGGUAGAUUCCAAACCUUCAUUUUGUCAAUUUACUUAAAGGUGACUGGGUUUAAAGGGGCUGACUGAUUGUAAAUAACUUGGAGAAUAAAUCAAUAUUCAUUAAUAAAGUUAAAUAAUUCACGUAAAAUUAAAGUAUAAUAGGCAUAAUUUAUAUUAUUGGUUUUUUUUUCAAUUUAGGGGCAUUCGCUCCUUCUUUAUAGAUUCACUCAGAAAAUUGUAUUAUGGAACACAGUUUCAUUCAUAAGUAUAGAGUUUGAGCGAAAGGGUAGAUAUUCUUUUCUGUAAAUUAAUUUUAAUUUGUACUUUAAGUUCUAGGGUACAUGUGCAGGAUGUGCAGGUUUGUUACAUAGGUAAACGUGUGCCAUGGUGGUUUGCCGCACCUAUCAACCCAUCAUCUAGGUAUUAAGCCUAGCAUGCAUUAGCUAUCUUUCCCAAUGCUCUCCCUCCCCAUCACCCCACCCCCCGACAGGCCCCAGUAUGUGUUGUUCCCCUCCCUGUGCCCAUGUGUUUUCUUGUUCAGCUCCCACUUAUAAGUGAGAGCAUGCGGUGCUUGUUUUUCUACUCCUGCAUUAGUUUGCUGAGGAUAAUGGCUUCCAGUUCCAUCCAUGUCCCUGCAGAGGACAUGAUCUCGUAUGCAAAAGGGAAGAUACUGUUAAAGCAUGUUUCUUUUCUUUUUUCUUUGACAUUUUAAAAAUUAACAUGAUUUCUGUCUAAAUACUGGGUACUCAUUAUUAGAAUAAGAGGACCUUCCAACAGCUGUGCAGGGGACAUUCCAUUGACACAUUCUUAGUCUUUGACUCUCUUCUGUUAAGAAUUCAUACAGAUUACUACCCUUCCAUUCAAAUCCAUUUGCUAAAUCAUACUUUGCCCACCUGAUAAGUCAAAGUUUGGAACUGUGUUCUUAAAUGAAUGAAUGAAUGAAUUAAACAUUAUUCUUGGUGAAAUUUGGGCAAUAUCUUUUGCUGUUUCUUAAAAAAUGUUCUAGUUUUAUCAGCAUCUUUGAAAGUCUCAGACUUGAAUGUUUCUAUGGAAGGAGUUAGCUGCACCCAUAUUUCAUAAGUUCUUCAUAGUUUUAAUAUCAAAUAAUGAGGUAUUAUUGCUAAUGUUGUCUGAUGUUAUAAUAGCAUUAUUACUAUAUUAGUAUUAUUAUUAUUUUUUGAGACAGAGUCUUGCUCUGUCGCCAGGCUGGAGUGCAGUGGCAUGAUCUCAGUUCACUGCAGCC